rnacentral:rRNA from 1 species
UUCAGUUGAAUGAAGACCGUACCGUAAACCGACACAGGUGGGUAGGAUGAGAAUUCUAAGGCGCUUGAGAGAGCUCAGGAGAAGGAACUCGGCAAAAUAGCACCGUAACUUCGGGAAAAGGUGUGCCCUUUGUAUGUGUAGCGCCUCGCGCGUGAAGCAGAAAAGGGUUGCAAUGAAAUGGUGGCUGCGACUGUUUAAUAAAAACAUAGCACUCUGCAAACACGAAAGUGGACGUAUAGAGUGUGACGCCUGCCCGGUGCCGGAAGGUUAAAUGAUGGGGUGCAAGCUCUUGAUUGAAGCCCCGGUAAACGGCGGCCGUAACAAUAACGGUCCUAAGGUAGCGAAAUUCCUUGUCGGGUAAGUUCCGACCUGCACGAAUGGCGUAACGAUGGCCACACUGUCUCCUCCUGGGACUCAGCGAAGUUGAAAUGUUUGUGAAGAUGCAAUCUCCCCGCGGCUAGACGGAAAGACCCCGUGCACCUUUACUGUAGCUUUACAUUGGACUUUGAUAACAUUUGUGUAGGAUAGGUGGGAGGCUUUGAAGUGGAUUCGCUAGAAUUCAUGGAGCCAACGUUGAAAUACCACCCUGAUGUUGUUGAGGUUCUAACCUAGAUCCAUUAUCUGGAUUGGGGACCGUGUAUGGUAGGCAGUUUGACUGGGGCGGUCUCCUCCCAAAUUGUAACGGAGGAGUACGAAGGUACGCUAGGUACGGUCGGAAAUCGUGCUGAUAGUGCAAUGGCAAAAGCGUGCUUAACUGCGAGACCGACAAGUCGAGCAGAUGCGAAAGCAGGUCAUAGUGAUCCGGUGGUUCUGUAUGGAAGGGCCAUCGCUCAACGGAUAAAAGGUACGCCGGGGAUAACAGGCUGAUUCCUCCCAAGAGUUCAUAUCGACGGGGGAGUUUGGCACCUCGAUGUCGGCUCAUCACAUCCUGGGGCUGUAGCCGGUCCCAAGGGUAUGGCUGUUCGCCAUUUAAAGUGGUACGUGAGCUGGGUUUAAAACGUCGUGAGACAGUUUGGUCCCUAUCUGCCGUGGGCGUUGGAAGUUUGAGUGGACCUGCUCCUAGUACGAGAGGACCGGAGUGGACGCACCUCUGGUGUACCGGUUAUGACGCCAGUCGUAUCGCCGGGUAGCUAUGUGCGGAAGAGAUAACCGCUGAAAGCAUCUAAGCGGAAAACUCUCCUCAAGAUGAGACUUCCCGAGGGUUUAACCCUCCUAAAGGUUCGUCGAAGACUACGACGUUGAUAGGUCGGGUGUGGAAGCAUAGUGAUAUGCUAAGCUAACCGAUACUAAUUGACCGUGAGGCUUGAUCCG